ACAAGCGGUGGAGCAUGUGGUUAAUUCGAAGCAACGCGAAGAACCUUACCAGGUCUUGACAUCCCUGACAACCAAGAGAGUUGGGCCGUUCCCCUUCGGGGGACAGGGUGACAGGUGGUGCAUGGUUGUCGUCAGCUCGUGUCGUGAGAUGUUGGUUAAGUCCCGCAACGAGCGCAACCCUCGCCUCUAGUUGCCAGCAUUCGGUUGGGCACUCUAGAGGGGCUGCCGGCGACAAGUCGGAGGAAGUGGGAUGACGUCAAAUCAUCAUGCCCCUUAUGACCUGGGCUACACACGUGCUACAAUGGGCGGUACAAAGGGCUGCGAACCCGCGAGGGGGAGCGAAUCCCAAAAAGCCGCUCUCAGUUCGGAUUGCAGGCUGCAACUCGCCUGCAUGAAGCCGGAAUCGCUAGUAAUCGCGGAUCAGCAUGCCGCGGUGAAUACGUUCCCGGGCCUU
rnacentral:rRNA from 1 species